AUGUAUGAUUUCAAUAUAGCAGGCAACAGACUAUCAGGUGUUAUACCCUGGAAUAUGUCAAAAUUAACAAGCAUGAAGAGGAAGAAUGAUGGUGAGCAGCUAUUUUAUAAUUUGCCUGUGACCACGAAGCGUCAGGAACGUUAUUACGGAGUUCGACAUUCCAAGAUGGUGACCAUUGUCUUAUCCUUGAAUUUCUUAACUGGGGAAAUUCCAGAAGAAAUUGUUUCUCUUGGCCAACUGGUGAAUCUGAAUUUGUCAUGGAACUACUUGUCUGGAGAAAUUCCACAUAAGAUUGGAUCCAUGCAAUCACUUGAAUCACUAGACCUGUCAAGGAAUAAACUUUCCGGAGAAAUUCCACUGAGCAUAUCAAAUCUAACAUAUUUGGCUUGGUUGGAUCUUUCGUACAACAAUUUGUCAGGAAGAUUGCCACCGGGAUCACAACUUGACACCCUAUAUGACAAUAACCCAUAUAUGUACAAAGGCAACAAAGGUCUUUGUGGGUCUCCUCUCCAACGGAAUUGUUCAGGAGAUAAUAAUGCAACAAAGCUUGACAACAGUGAUCAAGAGAGAAGUGCGCAUGUCCCAGGUCCAAUGUUUUUCCACCUUGGGCUUGGGUCAGGGUUUGUUGUUGGUGUCUGGGUGGUGUUAUGUACCAUGCUCUUCAAGAAAACGUGGAGGAUUGCAUAUUUCCGGCUCUUUGAUGAGGUAUAUGACAAGCUAUAUGUAUUUGUCGUCGUCAAUUGUGCAAAAUUGGCACGGAAGACACCACAGCUAAUUGAGAAGCUUGGCUAG
rnacentral:rRNA from 1 species